AACGAACGCUGGCGGCAUGCCUAACACAUGCAAGUCGAACGAGAAAUCACCUUCGGGUGAGAGUAAAGUGGCGCACGGGUGAGUAACGCGUGGGAACCUGCCUAGCGGUACGGAAUAACCUCGGGAAACUGUGGCUAAUACCGUAUACGCCCCAUGGGGGAGAAAGAUUUAUCGCUGUUUGAUGGUCCCGCGUCUGAUUAGCUUGUUGGUGAGGUAAUGGCUCACCAAGGCUACGGCCAUUAGCUGGUCUGAGAGGAUGAUCAGCCACACUGGGACUGAGACACGGCCCAGACUCCUACGGGAGGCAGCAGUGGGGAAUAUUGGACAAUGGGCGAAAGCCUGAUCCAGCCAUGCCGCGUGAGUGAAGAAGGCCUUAGGGUUGUAAAACUCUUUCACCUGUGAGGAUAAUGACAGUAGCAGGAGAAAAAGCUCCGGCUAACUUCGUGCCAGCAGCCGCGGUAAUACGAAGGGAGCGAGCGUUGUUCGGAAUUACUGGGCGUAAAGCGUGCGUAGGCGGUUUAGUAAGUUAGAAGUGAAAGCCCUGGGCUCAACCUAGGAAUUGCUUUUAAAACUGCUAAACUAGAAUCUCGGAGGGGAUGGUGGAAUUUCCAGUGUAGAGGUGAAAUUCGUAGAUAUUGGAAGGAACACCAGUGGCGAAGGCGACCAUCUGGACGAGUAUUGACGCUGAGGCACGAAAGCGUGGGGAGCAAACAGGAUUAGAUACCCUGGUAGUCCACGCCGUAAACGAUGUAAACUAGCCGUUGGGACCUUAGGUUUCAGUGGCGCAGCUAACGCACUAAGUUUACCGCCUGGGGAGUACGGCCGCAAGGUUAAAACUCAAAGGAAUUGACGGGGACCCGCACAAGCGGUGGAGCAUGUGGUUUAAUUCGAUGCAACGCGCAGAACCUUACCAGCCCUUGACAUCCCGAUUGGGAGGAGCAGAGAUGCACCUCUUCAUUUAGUCUGGGCCUCAUACAGGUGCUGCAUGGCUGUCGUCAGCUCGUGUCGUGAGAUGUUGGGUUAAGUCCCGCAACGAGCGCAACCCUCGCCCUUAGUUGCCAUCAUUAAGUUGGGCACUCUAGGGGAACUGCCGGUGACAAGCCGGAGGAAGGUGGGGAUGACGUCAAGUCCUCAUGGCCCUUACGGGCUGGGCUACACACGUGCUACAAUGGCGGUGACAAUGGGCUGCGACCCUGCGAGGGGUAGCGAAUCCCAAAAAGCCGUCUCAGUUCGGAUUGUUCUCUGCAACUCGAGAGCAUGAAGUUGGAAUCGCUAGUAAUCGCGUAUCAGCAUGACGCGGUGAAUACGUUCCCGGGCCUUGUACACACCGCCCGUCACACCAUGGGAGUUGGUUUUACCCGAAGGUGGUGCGCUAACCGCAAGGAGGCAGCCAACCACGGUAAGGUCAGCGACUGGGGUGAAGUCGUAACAAGGUAGCCGUAGGGGAACC
rnacentral:rRNA from 1 species